GCGCCCGUAGCUCAAUUGGACAGAGUGACGGACUACGAAUCCGUAGGUUGCGUGUUCGAGUCACGCCGGGCGCG
rnacentral:tRNA from 1 species